AUAUUUAAAACUUGAAAAAAAAAUUUAAAAUCUUUUUUAACAAUUACAUUAAAAAACUCAGCCCGAAGUUAACAUGUGUAAUAAAGAAUCUUUCAACGAAUUGCUGCAGACAAGCUUCCCUCUCUUCUCUCCUGUUCAGACGAUUAUAUCUUAAUAUGCGCUGUAGUUUCGCCCAAUAAUGACAGCUGUUCAGCUGAUAGUAACUUCUUUCCAAGUUUUUUUUUUCUUUUCUUUUUUUCCCCUCCCCUCCUUCCCCCACUCGGGCCCCCCUUGGUCUCUGUCUUGCUUUGUUGUUUUAAAAUAUGCAUGUCUCUCUCCGGAAUGCCAGUCACGGGUCCAAACUUUGUGUGUCCCAACCUCCCACAUGAUGAAAUGAUCCUUUUAAAAGCGAGCUCAAUAUGUCUCAAUCUGCACUCUUCUCCCUCCUCUACCAAAGCCUUCUGGGCUCGGGACGCAACCCAGACACGUACAUAAGUGCAUGCAUAUAAUAAUUAAAGCGCAAUUCACUUUGCUGCGGACUUUAUUUCUAAGCGCUGAAGAGGAAGACGCGGCUGGAUCAAGUCAAGUUCUGUCAGCGACGGACGGAUGAAGAUUCAUGGCAGGAAAAGGGGGGAAAAAGCCGCUACGUGUGGUGACAACGUUGGAGUUCUCUUCGGCUUCCUCUUCCUCCUUCGUCUUCAGGACUUCGUUGAAGAACCUGAAGAUGGACUCAAAACUCAUCCAGGAGCAGAUCGAUGCGGCAGCGUUCGCUCGUUCACCCUGAACUGGUGGUGAACUCCCCCCGCACGCCGCCAGCCUCUCCGCCCUACUCCACCGCAUUCGAGGGUCACCAUGGGGGUGUCUCUGUGCUAAUAUGCAGAUGAGCUGCUGCCCCUCCAAUGACUCGGAUGUUAAGCUCCACCUCCCUUUAGAGGGUUGAAGGCUUUGAGAUUAAGUCUUCUCCCUUCACUCUCAUAUAUAGACAUAAAUUGUCUCUCAUAUGAAAUGUGCCAAAUUGCAUCCACUCUUAUUUCUAAAGCUUAACGACAAAAUUCACAAUGCACAUGCUUUGACAGAAGAAAAACAUUACAAAGUAAUAUAUAAACAACAUAGUUCAAUGGGGAAUGGACCUUGUAAAAAAUGAGUAGCCAAAAAUACAGGCAAACAGUAUAUGUUUAUCUAAGACUUUAUCAAUAUUCAGGUGAAUUAGAUUUUUUUUUUUUGAGUAUUUAUCAUGUACUGCAAUGUAAUAGCCACAUUUUUGUAACUUUACAAGCUUUUUAAUCUGGCAUAUAACUCCAAAACUGAGAUUGUAUAUUUAUAUUUCCUUAACUGUUUAUGACACAUGUAUAAAACUACUGCUAUCAUAGAAUAAAGUUUUUAUAUUUAGUAAAAAGCCUUUUAAAACUGAGCAAAUCAGAUAAAAAAUUCAGGCAACAAAGAAUACUGUAAAAAAAAAAAAAAUACAGGUUUUUGUACAAUUCUAAUUGUGAUUGAACCUAAUGGGUUGAUAGCUAAAUUAAUAAGGGCAACUGAAUGAAGACAAUGCAACACAAAGUAAUGGGCAAAACUUUUUUGUACUCUUAACUACAAAUUACACCUCGUGUUUAAGCAAUAAACAUAUAAACAACAUAGUUCAAAACAGAGGAGAUUAUUAGCUUGGUGUGCUCCUGACAGUUGAAGUGAGAUUGAACACUGUGUAAGAUUGGAAGAGCAGCCUGAGAAAAAAAAUCUGAAACAUUUUAAGUCUGGUAAAUAACUUGCAGAGAUGUCAAAAAAUGUUUUAGAACAAAUUUCUAGUUAUACUUUUUAUGUUUUUUAAAAUUCGAUUUGAAUGAUCUAUGAAAAGCAUAUUAGUUGUUUGGUAGGCAAUUUUUUUGGACAGCUAUAUAGAAAAAUAAAUAAAUAAAUAAAACAAAAACAACAAAGAGAGGGGGCAAGCAGGAACCAAGGAGAUGACUGAAUUGAAACAACAACAGACAGAAAAAACAUCUCCAGUAAUAAUAAUAAUAAUAAUCAGAAUGUACUUCUAAUUAGAGUUGGUUAGCAGAAAAAAAAAGUUUUUACAAUAAGGACAGCUGGUCUGAAACUGAUGAAACACAUUCACAGUUCUGUGGAGAAGUUUAACUGUGAGGCAGGAAAUAUCUGGUGCAGAAACAUGCUCUGUGGUGAGGUCACCCGCAUGUUCUCUCUGCUGAGGUCAAGACACAGUUUUGAUGGCCGGGCUGGCCAGCGGCUUGCGGCUGACCAUCCUGAGUGAGUGUGUUUUCCCAAACUCGGUGAGGCCGGCUCAUUAUGUGGCAAGCAGAGAGAAGCAUUUGAUCCUGGAUGUUUAGCAUCCUCCUCUCUGUCACAGCCACUGGAGCCCUCUCUGGGUAAUUGACUGGCUGUUUGAUCUCUCUCUGACUCGACAUUACUACACACAUUUACACACACGGACAAACGCGUUUAUCUUGCAAGUGUCUGCUCAAUGCCCACAGUUACUCGUGCCAAAAGCACACAGUUAUGAUGAUUUGUGUGCUGAGGAGGAAUCUAAGAGAGGAGCAGAGUGAGUUUUGAGCUGAAAACAGGGAAACUCGUGCAUAGCUGAAGGCCAUGCUUUCUUCCCUCUGCACCAAAUGCUGCAUGCUGUUACAAAUGGUAAUCGGCUGUGAUUGUCACAAAUUUCAAAACAAACGCUAGGUGACUGAAAAGCCAAAGUGACGCCCCGAGUGAUACUCCGACAGGAGCUGCGAAUCAAAGCAUGCCGACUAUAAUUAGGUUCCAUCUGGGCUACAUUAUUUAAAGCCGCACCAGUUAAUUGCUUGUGUACAAAUGGCCUAUUUUAUUUGAAUCAAAUUCUUUUUUAUUCAUAAUUACACUGAUGUGAAGGGGAGAAUAUCUCUUUGCUACAGUUAUAAUAUAAAUACAUAUUCAAAUUAAGGAUGCUUUGAGGCGAGGCAGAACGUAAAAUGAUGACACUUUUAUUUUUGGGAGUUGAUUUUCUUUAAACAAUUAAGAGUGCUUAAAAAAAUACUGACAUUUGGGUUAAAUAUUUAAUGAACUCCAAUUAAAAAAAGAGAUUAGUCCUGAUAUAAUCAUUAAGCAGAAAUCAGAAAGGCAGAAUUCCUGAAAGACAGUAUUUAUAGAAUAGACAAAAAUAUUGAUGCGAGUAUUUUCAUUUUCUCAUUUCCUUUCCUUUCUUUUUUUUAAAGAAAACACCAGAUAAAAAAGCACAACACACAAAUAGAGGAUUGUCUUAUCAACUUCCCAUCAAAUGUAACCUCAGCCUUAGUUGUAUCUCUAUGUGGGGCCACAGCAGAGCACUGUGGGAGCACGCUUGGGCUACUUGUAACCUUAGCAGUGUUUCUACUUGUGGAAACUAUCUGAUCUGCAUCGCCGGGAGAGAAUCGCUGUCUGUAUCCUGGUUGUCAGAAGAUCAGAUUUCCACCCCGACUUUUUCUGAUAUUAGAUGGUCCUUUGCAGUGUGUGUGUGCAGAAUAUGAGUGGUGGUCAAACCUCGACGUAUGCUCGUCCCCGAGCAAUGCCUACGCAUGUACAGUACAGUUUUUGUGUAUUGUCACUUUAUGUACAAACAUGCUUAAAGGUCAAGGAUGCCAUUUUCCUCCAUAUGGCUCUUUGUUCUGGAUGGUGCGACACGUUGCCAGUGAAGACGAGGCCAAAGAGAAACGCAAGCAGGUGACAGGUGGUCAGCCACACUGUUGGAGCAAGGCUGCCCUAUCUAACAAAGCAUGUGGAUGCCAUCUUCAGCCAGAAAUCAAAUUAACCCAUAAAUACAAUCUUAAAUUGUCACUCAGAGUAGGACAGUCACAUUAAAUGGAGCUUAAAAUAGAUAAAAUCAGAUAUAUGUCUGCCAAACAAUAUGUUUGACUAAAGGAAGAUGAAAAUAACAUCACUUUGCUUACUUUAAUCAAACCAGAGAAAAUUACCCAAAACAGAGCUUGUUUGAUUAAACCAGUUUCACCACUGUUACCUCUUCAUUGAAAUUCAUUUGUAAUGCCUGUUUGUAAGUGGGGUCCACCCCGCUUCCCCUCACGUUUCUGUCAUCCUGCUUUUAAUUGCUUUGCUUAUUACUGUGUGUUGUUGUUAGACAAAAACAAGGCAGAACUCAUUACGCAUCCAGAGAUGAGGAACCUGAAUCACUUCCUACGGGGGCUGCUCAGGGGACUUUGUAUUUCCAAAGCAAAAUAAAAAAAAGAGGGAGUGAGAAGAGAAUCAAGACAAGGACCAGAAAGAGAAUAUCACAUUAACUGGUUGAUAUUAUCACCCAGUCUCUGCUACUGUUUUCAAUAAAAUGGUCUAGAGAGGAAAAAACUGUGACAAGAAUAAAUCUCUCAUCACAGUGCCUUGCAAACAUAUUUACACUCAAACUUUGUAUAUACUGUAACACUAUAAUAAACAAAGUAUAUGUAUUACAUUGGGAUUUUAUGUGAUAAACCGACAAUUACAAUGAAAGGAGAAAGGGAAAUGAUAUAUGAUUAUAAAAAUAUGUGUUCAGUCCCAAUACAUACCAGGACUUUUUGGAACCGUGUUUUGCUGUAAUUAUGGAGUUAGACGUUUUUUGGGUUAUGUCUUUAUCGGCUUUACACAUCUGUAGACUGAAUAUUUUGACAGUUUCACUUUGCAUGACAGCUCAGUCAUGUGAGUCAUGAGCGUCUGUGAAAAUCUGUGAAAGUCUUGCCAAAGAUCUUCAAGGGGAUUUAGGGCUGGACGUUGGCUGAUUCAAACAGACCAUGAUUUUCUGUAAUACUGUCUCUAAUACUGUCAGUUAAGGUGGAUGGCUAUGUCUAAAUAAGUUUACAUUUUUGUCAUGACAUCAAUUGUUAGAAAAUGGAUUGAGCGGUGCUCCUUGAGAUCUUUAGAGUUUAGGAUAUUAUUCUGAAACCUAAACCAAUUUGGGCAACUUGGUGUUUUUUCUUUUUGUUUUUGGAAAGGGGGUUGGGAGAGUCAAAUAAAAUAGUGUUAAACAGAAAUGUAAACCCCAUUUGUCUGAUACUAUACUUUGUGUUGGUCUGCCACACAAUGGAAGUUUCCCUGAAACAUUGAAGUUUCACGGUAUAAACAAUAUAAUAAUUUGAAAAGUUCGAGGGGUAUGAAAACUUUUGCAAGGCAUUGUACUUUUUAUGCCUCAUUUAGUUAAACCCUUUAAUGCUUCCUCUUCAACCUAUUUCCCUCUCUGACCAGACUGUCAGACUGGACUGAGUGCUUUUUUGUUUUAACUGGGAAGAGUGGCCUUGGCUGUCAUAAAAGACACUCGCUUUUAUAGAGUUGGAGCGAAGUAUUUACAAGAUAACCCUGGUCCUUGGACCGUGCAAUUUGAUACCAGUGUCAGACGCUCUUCUCGCCAGUAAAAAUUGAAAGGUCCAAACAUCCCUUCCCCUCUACAUAACCUCUCAAUGUCAGCAGCUUUAGUGAGCUCUGAGGAAAGUGGUUGAGAUGCAUGUGAAUAAGAUGAGAUACAUAUUUGUGGAGUUUAAUAAAGAGUUUGGCUCCACCUUAGCUUGUUCAGUGUAAAGAGUUUAACAGAGAAUAUCUAUAUAGAAAUAAUAGAAUAAAGCUGAAUCUGUAGA